rnacentral:lncRNA from 1 species
UGGCGUUUGGCGGGUCUUUGUCUCUUGCUGGCGCUGGCACAGGAACUUGGGAUCCGUCUCCUCUUUCGCCUCCUCCGCUUUGGGAGCCCCGGGCUACUCUUUCACAGCCCCUGUUGCCCUGUGAUCUGUAGGUCCUUGGGGACGCACAGUUAAGAUGACAGGACAUCCUGGAAGCUGGGAAAUGAUAUGUAUUCAUUUCCUACCACCGUAGUGGAAGAGAGAUUUUCCCUAUCUUUACAACUGAUAGCAUUUCCAACAGUAAGCUGUGAGAUUCUGCUUGAAAUCACCUCUCAAACAAAUAAAAAACAGACCUGGGAGACAUGCUACACUCAUUCUGCUGAGGAAAUAGGUGGGAUUGUGACAUACAUCUCUGCCCAGCUCCUGAGUGUUUUAGCUCUGUUUCCUGUGUCCAGCUCACAGAUGGGAUUCUGAUAUAUCACUGAAGCCAGCACCUAAAUGAUGUGACUCUUAUCUCCUGCCUUGGUGCUGCCCACAGGGGACAUUGGGACAUAUCACUUGGCCUUGCACCUAGGAUUUGUUUGGAAGGAGAUUGUGAUACAUUGGUGGGUCCAACUUCUCAGUGACAUUACUCUGUUGACUGUGCUCUGCAAGCAGAAAGCACUGUGACACAUUAUUGGGCCCAACACCAAGGCGAUGUGACUCUCCACUCUUACCUGGGCCCUUCCAAAAGAGGGGAUUGUGACAUAUCACUGACCCUAACACCAAGUGAAGCUUGUGACAUAUUUCUGCAUUCAUCACCAAGAAGAUGUGACUCUUCUGCCUGCAUCCUGACCACAGAGAGGAUUGUGAAAUAUUGCUAGAUCCAGCAUGCAGGUGAUGUGUCUCUGCUGCCUCGUUCCUAAUGUGAGGAGUGGAUUGCAACAUACCAAUGCCUGAACAUUCAGGUAAUGUGACUGUUGACUGGUCCCUGUCCUCAGGGAAGCGACAUAUCAC